UACGUAGGUCCCGAGCGUUGUCCGGAUUUAUUGGGCGUAAAGCGAGCGCAGGUGGUUUAUUAAGUCUGGUGUAAAAGGCAGUGGCUCAACCAUUGUAUGCAUUGGAAACUGGUAGACUUGAGUGUAGGAGAGGAGAGUGGAAUUCCAUGUGUAGCGAUGAAAUGCGUAGAUAUAUGGAGGAACACCGGUGGCGAAAGCGGCUCUCUGGCCUGUAACUGACACUGAGGCUCGAAAGCGUGGGGAGCAAACAGG
rnacentral:rRNA from 1 species